GGCAAGGGAGAUCAAUCUCGAAGCUUUCAAUUAGGAUCCUGUGGGCGGGGAAGAAGACUGGAGCUCGCAGGGAAGGAACUGGCUGAUAUUAUUAUUAUUUUUUUUUUGAUGCAGCAUUCCAGAAAACAUAAUCAAUGGCACCCGUCCAGUUCCCAUUUAGUAACCAAAGAACUAGCUGCAGCUGUUUUUUAUGCCUGGUGGUGCCAGUUUGAUAGUGUAUAAUCAUAUUUGCAUAAAGAUAAAAAGGAAGGUGUUAUAGAACACAGUUAAGCCUAUGGUUUCACCAUGAAUUAAAGGUAAUUUCAGACUAAUUAGGUAUAAUUUGUUAAGGAAUUCUUCCCAGCAAUGAUGACUCUGAUUUUGUAAUUACAGGACAAUGCUUACUGUGGCUUUCAAGGCUGGAGAAAGCACACCCGAGGGGGUCGUGUCCCACACUAGGCAGAUCUAAUGGUGCCACAAAAGACAGGUGUUUUGUCAGAUUUCAGCCACACACUUUCACACCUGCAACGCAUUAAGUACAGCAGCAAUGUUAAUGAAGACCAGGUGCCUGUUCCCCAACUUAAAUGAGAAACUGGCAUGAGGUUUGCUGUUUGCUACCUGACGUCUUCCUCCGUGUCUCUGAACACCGGCCCUCCAGUUGACUGGGAAAAUGAACUGGGUACGGCGGUUAUCCUCGCUGCCUGAGUCGCCUGUUGGUUCUCACCCUCCGAGAGUGGGGAAGACUCUUCCAGCCCCAAGUGUUUCUGGGUUUCUCUGCGGCUACCCCUUUUGUGCAGAGCUCAGCCUCCGGGAGUCCCGAAAAGAGCCUGAGCUGCACGAUUGGGCAAAAUGGGUUUCUGGAAAGUGCUGUGUUAUCAGCUGCUACCAGGGAAAGUUUGAUUGCAGCUACUUGAGUCUUUUCAAACUUGAAGUUUUGCCAUUCUGUCCGGAAAUGAGUAAUGGAGGCCUUGAGCAAGCUUUUUCAUUUUAAUAAAACACAAGGUUUUCA